rnacentral:rRNA from 1 species
UGGGGAAUAUUGGACAAUGGGCGAAAGCCUGAUCCAGCCAUGCCGCGUGUGUGAAGAAGGUCUUCGGAUUGUAAGGCACUUUAAGUUGGGAGGAAGGGUUGUAGAUUAAUACUCUGCAGUUUUGACGUUACCGACAGAAUAAGCACCGGCUAACUCUGUG